rnacentral:ncRNA from 1 species
CGAGAGACGGCAUCCAAAUCAGCCUCUGGCUUUUCCCUGUAUGUUAGCAGUGACCGCAAGGUAGCGACUAAGAACUCGGACCGGUAGCGCCAGAGUUACCUGCAGUAUGGCGCUCCGGU